AGAUAAAUUGUACUAACCAUACUUAUUGGACUUAUAUUCCUAACCCUCCUCUUAAUAUGGGGGUUACCUGGUGGGAUGCCCCAAUUCUUGUAUAUGUAAAUGAGUCUGGAUGGUUGCCUGGUCCUUUUGAUGAUAGAGGCCCUUUGAAGCCGGAAGAAGAAGGAAGGAUAAUAGAAAAUUACACGUCCGACGACGAGUGAAAGCUACCCGCCAUGCAACAUCGCAACAAGCUGCCGUGUUCUCCUUGAUGCUGCACAAGCUGCAAAACAAAAAGGGGGAAAUGUAGUGGAAUAACUGAGGACAUGGAAAGGAGACGUGACCCAUGAGCCCCCCCCCCCC